UUUAUUUUUGUCAAAUUGGUUAAAGAUCAGUUGGUUGUAUAUGUGCAGUUUUAUAUCUGAGUUCUCUCUUCUGUUCCAUUGAGCUAUGUGUCUGUUUUUUGUACCAAUAUCAUGCUGUUUUGGUUAUUGUAGGCUUGUAGUAUAAUUUGAAGUCGGGUAAUGUGAUACCUCCAGGUUUGUUCUUUUUGUUUAGGAUUGCUUUGGCUGUUUGGACUCUUUUUCAGUUCCAUGUGAAUUUUAAACUAGUUUUUCUAAUUCUGUGAAAAAUGAUGUUGAUAAUUUGAUAGGAAUAGCACUGAAUGUAAAGAUUACUUUGGGCAGUAUAGCCAUUUUUAUAAUAUUGACUCAUUUAAUCCAUGAGAAUGGAAUGAUUUUGCAUUUGUUUAUGUCAUCUACUAUUUCUUUCAGCAGUGUUUUGAAGUUCUCCUUGUAGAGAUCUUUCACCUCCUUGGUUAGAUAUUUUCCUAGGUUUCUGUAUCUAUCGUAAAUGGGAUUUUAUUCUUGAUUUUGUUCUCAGCUUGAAUGAUGUAGGUAAUGGGCAUCUUGAUUACCUUUUUGUUUCCCACAAGAUAUCCCAUUGGUUUGUUACAUUGAUGAUAUUCUGCUGAUUGGACCUAGUGAGCAAGAGGUAACAACUGCUCUAGGAUUACUGGUAAGAUAUUUACAUGUCAGGAGUAGGAAAUAAAUAUGAUAAAUUCAGAAGCUUUCUACCUAAGUGAAUUCUGUAGUGGUCCAGUAGUGUAGGCCAUGCCAAAAUAUCACUUCUAAGGUAAGGGUAAUUUGUGCCCAAAGAUUCAGUGGCAGAUAGGGUUGCUGUUAGGGCCUUUGGCAGGCCCCUAUAGGUGAAUUGCAGUGUAGACCUUUAAAAUGUGGGUGUAAGCCCUGCCAUUCUUUGCAGAUGACUACUCUCUUUUUGAGGAUCUAAGCCUUACUAGAAACUGAACACUUAACCAUGGGACAUCAAGUUCUCAUCUGACCAGACCUGCUCAUCAUGAAUUUGGUAUUAUUCUGACCAACAAGCUGUGAAGUUGGGCAUGAACAGCAGCAAAUAGAAGUAAUAUGUGUAUGAUCAGGCUGGAGCAGGCCCUGAAGGCACAAGGUUCAAGUUAUCAAGGAGAAGAGCGAACAUCACUCAAAGACCUUUCCUCUUCUUCCAGCAAGAAGGCCCUUACCAGAUGCCAGCACCUUGAAAUUGGUCUUUCUAGCCUCCAGAUCUGUCAUUCAUGCAUCUGUGAUCAGCUGCCAGACUGGGUGGAGGCUGGUUCAUCUGAAAUGACUUCAGCUAGGAUGACCUGACUCUGCUUUUUUACAUUUAAGUAUCUUCUGAGGCUUAUUCACACGACAGUAAUAGAGAUCCAAAAGCAAAAUGGGAAAUAUGCAAAAUCUUUCAAGGGCUAGGCACAAAAUUAGUCUGUUAUUUCUACCACAUUUUACUAAUCAAUGCAAGUUAUAAGGUCAGACAAGAUUUAAGGGGUGAAGAAAGAGUGGCAAAGUUGCUAUACAAAGAGGAGUGGAUAUAGGAAGAGAUAAAGAAUUAUGGUUAUUUUUGCAAUCUCAUGCAAAUAGCAUUUUUGCAAUAUAAGUUUAGUUUCAUGGCUUUAUUGAGAAAAGCUUAAAUCAAAAACUGCAGAAUCUUUUUGUGUGUGUUUUUUAUUCCCCUGGCACAUUCUAGCAUAUACUUACAAAUACCAAUUCCUGGCAUGGAUGCAGAUCAACUGCUAAUGAGAAUGCGAAAUAAUACGGCCACUUUGGAAAACAGUUUGAUAAUUUCUUAUAAAAAGUUAAUUAUACACUUACCAUGUAAGCCAGUAAUCCAACUACUGAGUUAUUUAACCAAAUGCAAUGAAAACUUAGUUUUCACUGGCAUAAAAUUCUUUCCCACUUAUUAAGCCUUCAAUCCCUUGACUUUGUCUGUUGCAGAUAGAAAAAUUAAAAGACAUAGAGGCUAAAGCCAAAUCUAGCCUACUGCCUGUUUUUGUUAAUAAAGUUUUAUUGGAACAUUGCCAUGCCAUUUGUUUACACAAUGUUUAUGACUACUUGUGUGCUGUGCUACAAUGACAGAGUUGAGCAAUUGUGCAUGAGCUCACAAGGCCCUCAAAGCCUAAAAUAUUUACUAUCUAGCCUUUUACAUAGCAAGUUUGCUGACUCCUAGAGGAUAGGAUUUUGUAAUUGUUUUUUAACAGGUCAGUGUUGAAAAUCAUGUUAAUCACUUAUGAUUGUGUUCCAUUGGCCAGAACUAUGUCUCAUGGUCACACAGUGUAGGCUGGGCUAUUUACAAUACUUGCAUGCAUAGGAAACAGAGGAAACUGAUAUUUGUAACUCUGUUAUGUCUUCACUGAUUUUCCAAAGACUGUAUCAUUCUGCAUCUACUCUCACAUACCACUUUUAAAUAUGUGUGUUUUUGACACAGUUGUAGGUUGUACAUUACUAUUUCUUUUCAUGUUUAACCCUUUAACUGGACUUGGUAAAAAAAAUCAUCUUAUUCAUCUCUAUAUUUUUAGUGUCAUACUCAAUUGAAUAAAGUUAAUAAAGGAAAUAAUGCAAUCAGG
rnacentral:lncRNA from 10 species